GACGAACCGUGCGAACGUUGUUCGGAUUCACUGGGCUUAAAGGGCGCGUAGGCGUGCUUGCCAGUCAGGGGUGAAAUCCUCCGGCUCAACCGGAGCAGGGCCUUUGAUACUGCAAGUCUUGAGGGAGGUAGGGGCAUGUGGAACUUCCGGUGGAGCGGUGAAAUGCGUAGAUAUCGGAAGGAACGCCGGUGGCGAAAGCGACGUGCUGGACCUCUUCUGACGCUGAGGCGCGAAAGCCAGGGGAGCAAACGGG
rnacentral:rRNA from 1 species